UACGGAGGGUGCAAGCGUUAUCCGGAUUCACUGGGUUUAAAGGGUGCGUAGGUGGGGAGGUAAGUCAGCGGUGAAAUCCCCGAGCUUAACCUGGGAACUGCCAUUGAUACUAUCUUUCUUGAAUACCUUGGAGGUGAGCGGAAUAUGUCAUGUAGCGGUGAAAUGCUUAGAUAUGACAUAGAACACCAAUUGCGAAGGCAGCUCACUACACGGUCAUUGACACUGAGGCACGAAAGCGUGGGGAUCAAACAGG
rnacentral:rRNA from 1 species